rnacentral:tRNA from 1 species
ACCUGGCUGGCUCUGUUGGUACAGCAUGUGACUCUUGAUCUCACGGUGGUAGGUUCAAGCCCCACGUUGGGUG